AUACGGAGGAUGCGAGCGUUAUCCGGAUUUAUUGGGUUUAAAGGGUGCGCAGGCGGCCAUUUAAGUCAGCGGUUAAAUCGUGGGGCUCAACCCCAUUUUGCCGUUGAUACUGGGUGGCUUGAUUGCGGUCGAGGUUGGCGGAAUUCGUUGUGUAGCGGUGAAAUGCAUAGAUAUGACGAAGAACACCGAUUGCGUAGGCAGCUGACCAGACCGCAAAUGACGCUCAUGCACGAAAGUGCGGGGAUCGAACAGGAUUAGAUACCCUGGUAGUCCGCACAGUAAACGAUGAAUACUUGUUUUCGGCGAUAUAAUGUCGGAGGCAAAGCGAAAGCGAUAAGUAUUCCACCUGGGGAGUACGCCGGCAACGGUGAAACUCAAAGGAAUUGACGGGG
rnacentral:rRNA from 1 species